rnacentral:tRNA from 1 species
GAGGGUAUAGCUCAAGUGGUAGAGCUCAUGCUUGGCAUGCAUGAGGUCCUGGUUCAAUCCCCAGUACCUCCU